rnacentral:lncRNA from 1 species
ACCACCAUGGCAAGGAGAUGCCCAGCCUGGGACAGCUUAAACUGGUGGCCGGCGAGGAGCCAGGCGGGGCCUUUGGGUGGCACACACCUUGGCACGGCUCAGGGUGAAGGCCAGGCUCGGCGUGGUGCCACCGGCAGCAGGACAGGGGUGUCACCACGAAGCCACCAGCCUGGCGCCGCGGGUCCCCUGCCACCAACCGGGCGGAUAACAUAGACCUCUCCAUUCGGAAGAGCCCUUUUGUCUCCUUGACCUCUUCAUUUCGGCCACAGCUCCCGUCCUGCCCAUGCUGCACCCAGGGGCUUGCACUUGGCUGGUGCCCAAUGUCCCCAGCGGGUCCCAGCGGCCGUGGCGGGGACACGGGGACACAGUGUGCGGGUGGGAUGGGGCCGGACCACGGGGCUUCGAGGGUCCUGCAGAGGAUGUGGGGGGUCCUGCGGAGGCCAGAAGCGCCCCCCAGGACGGGACACGUCUCCUGGGAAGGGGCCGGCACCGGCCGUCCCCCCGUGGCGCACGGGACGCGGGGCGCACGGAGAGCGCGGAGCCUCCCCCGGCGGGGCUCGGGGGACCCCCGGCAUGGGGGGCAGCUCGGAACCGGGGGGGUCUCGCCCACCCCCGGCCGCCCCCGCCGUGGUUCGCCCCGCUCCCCCUGCCGUCGGCGGCGUGGUACGGCUCGGGGGCGGCGCGCUCGGCCCGGAGCCGCUCGGGGGGGGCCGUGCCGGGCCGUGCCGGGCCGGGCUCCGGCGGGGCCAUGAGCGCGGCGGGCGGCCGGGACGCCUGCUGGAGAUAUCUGGACAUGGCCAGGGAGGCCAAGCCGAGCCGGGCCAGGCUGGGCCAGAAGAGGCAGCACAGCAGCAGCCUGUACCACAGUAACUGUGACCUGGACUAUGAUCUCUACAGGGACGACUUCCCGUACCGGGUGUACGAGUACCAGAAGAUCCCACCCCUCAUUAACCGCAUC